AAGAGUCUCGGCGUCUGAUUGGUCCAAUUUUCAGUUAGGCGCCGCCUGAUUGGCCGUUGGAUGAUGUCUGAUCCUAACAGAUGGCUAAAUCACUAGUUAAUUAUUUUCCUCAUGGAAGUUAUACAGCUCACGUAUCACACUUAAUAUUGAAUAUAUAUAUAAAAAGGGUUUUCCAAAAGGACCAUUUAUAAUCGAAAUACAAAACUUCACACACGAUUUUGAGCACAACAGAGCGCUCAGUGAACAGCACUUCCGGGACCUGCAUCACCGGAGGGGGACAUCUAUCUUGGCCACAAACCAUCUUUGACAGUCUUCGGCAGCAUGGUUGAAUCAGGUGAGCAUAAAAUGGAGUUUAACGUAAUUAAAUAGACCAAUGUUUUUUAACAUAGGAAAAUAGUUCAUUGUAAACAACAGUUAAAUGUUUGUUGUUAUUAAUUGCAAUCAGAUUUGAUUUUAUGAGGUCAAAUUAAGCAUUUCAGUUCUGGGCCAAGGCCAAGGCAUUUAAAAAUUUUUUUUUAAAGUUGCAUGGAAGAUUAUAAGUAGCAGUGAUUGUCACACACACACUAGGUGUGGUGAAAUUAUUCUCUGCAUUUGACCCAUCACCCUUGAUCACUAUGCUAGUAAACCUUUUCUUAAUUUUAAACAAGACAGACUAGAGUUCUUCAAAUUGUUUAUACUUUUUCUCAAAUACAAAUAUUUCAAGCUGAUAAGCACUGUGGAGUAGGCAUGUUACUGAUAUUGUUACAUUAGUUCUUUGUUUGAGAAGCUUCAUGUCUGCACUGAUCCUAAAUUUAACAGUUUUUGAAGGGUUUGGUUCUUUGUUUUAUUUCUGUGUCACUGACUUUUUUCAUUUUUAUGUGUGGAUUUGUUAGGCGCAUCAACACAUGAUAUAGACAUCGUGCCCAAAAGAAGAGCGAGACGUAAUCCUGAGGCUGAAGCUACCGAGUUUAUUUGAUCUGGAUGUGACAAGUCUUGUUUUAAGGCCCAGUGGAUCAAUGAUUGGAAAGACACCAACUGUUGAUGUUCUAUCUCAACAUUCUCCAGAUUCAUGUGACCGAUAAACCGACUUCAUCCCUCCAACAGACACCAACUGUUGGGGUUCUAUCUCAACAUUCUCCAGAUUCAGAUGUGAGCGAUAAACCGACUUCAUCCCUCCAACAGGUUAUUACAAGUCUAUUUUUACUAUAUCUGCUCUAAAUGUGACCCAACCUAUAUUUUGAAAGACAUUUAUUAAUUUUAAUCUCUCACAGAUCAGUUUAUAUGACAACAUUUUCGUAAGAGUACAUCCAUGUUAGUCAGUAAGGAGUUUGGAACUCAUGUUUAGCAAAACAGGAGAUGUUACAAGUCAACAACAUACAUUCUACA